GGCUGCAGCACGCGGUGCACGAGGCAGAGCCCACAAGCGAAAGACGGAGUGGGCCGGGCAUUCCGGCCCCGCCUUCCGCGGAGCAAAACAAACCUUCCACUGUGAUGUCUGCAUGUUCACCUCUUCUAGAAUGUCGAGUUUUAAUCGUCAUAUGAAAACUCACACCAAUGAGAAGCCUCACCUGUGUCACCUCUGCCUGAAAACCUUCCGUACGGUCACUCUGCUGCGGAACCAUGUUAACACCCACACAGGAACCAGGCCCUACAAGUGUAACGACUGCAACAUGGCAUUUGUCACCAGUGGAGAACUCGUCCGACACACGCGCUAUAAACAUACUCAUGAGAAACCCUUUAAAUGUUCCAUGUGCAAGUAUGCCAGUGUGGAGGCAAGUAAAUUGAAGCGCCAUGUCCGAUCCCACACUGGGGAGCGCCCCUUUCAGUGUUGCCAGUGCAGCUAUGCCAGCAGAGACACCUACAAGCUGAAACGCCACAUGAGAACGCACUCAGGUAAGGGCUCUGGUGCUGAAGGCCUGAUACCUACAGUGUUAACUCUUAAAGCAAGCUUUAAAAAAUUACUUUUUAUUGGCACAAUUAAAGUUCAAAGGUAAAAGUGGAUUUUUGCGUGCCUUCAUGAUACGAGAAUCUUGAUCUGUACCUUUAUUUAGCAGUAAGAGAGUCUGCAUAGAUACUGUGCCACAACCCCACUUUGUGGAGUAAAACACAAAAUAUUUGCUUCCGUAGAUUUUUCAGGUGAGAAGCCUUAUGAAUGCCACAUCUGCCACACCCGCUUCACCCAGAGCGGGACCAUGAAAAUACAUAUUCUGCAGAAACAUGGCGAAAAUGUCCCCAAAUACCAGUGUCCCCAUUGUGCCACCAUCAUUGCACGGAAAAGCGACCUAC
rnacentral:sRNA from 1 species